rnacentral:siRNA from 1 species
GGCGGUAACCCUUCUGAGCUAGAUGGAAGAGAGAGUAAAGAAGAAGUGUGUAGUGUAGGGUGUGAUGAGUGUUUUAGCAAACAUAUGAUUAUGCCCCACCUGUAACACCUCAGACAUAGCCUUCUUUCCAUCACACUUGGGCUGCAUAACUACAUGUUAGCCCUUGUUGUUUUGUAUAUCACUCCUGAGCUA